GGCUUUCUAUAACCAACUGGAACCCCAUGAUCCGAUCUCUCAUCGUCGGAGAAAACCCGAUUCUGAUACUCACCGACUACCACUGGAGUGCCCACGGGCACACCCGUUAUAGCGAUAGAAACUGGCAUCGGCGGUGGCGAUGACAGAACCACAAAACCCUCAUCUUGCUUCUGCCCAACAGCUCCACUACCACCACCCACAUUAAUCUGAGAAAACUGAUCCUCAAUACCCGCCACCUUCUGAUCCUGCACAACUCCUCUAACCCCUCCACCUCCUCCACUACCACCUCCAUCCUCCACAUGAACUCUUAUCGGAGGUAAAUUCGCAAGCGAAGGAGAAGAAGAAGUAGACCCAAAUGACGACGUAGUCUCCAACAUCGGAGAAUCCGGCACAGAAUGGACAUCCUGACCUUGCUUCGCAUUCUUCUGCAACCCCUCCACAUCUCGAACCCCACCACCAACUAAAUCAAGAUUAUUAUUCCCAUUUAGGCCAUCAUCAUCAAGUCCCAGCAAGCAAUUGACCGAAGCUGAAUCAGAAAACCCUCUAUUCAACAACGCAGUAGCCCCAUUCAAUGCAUUGAAGAACCAGUCUUCGG
rnacentral:misc_RNA from 1 species